AAAAAGCGUCACUUGUGGAGCCAGUCUUGUAAGCUACAAGGUUUUGAGAAUGGCAAUGAGUCACAAGAGCUCUGAAAAAGCUAGAAGAAUAGAGACUAAAGUUAUCAGCCCUGAAGCACUGAAUCAUCUAUAUUUCAUCUACAGAAACAUAGAUGCAAAGCACUACCACCUGCUUCUUAAUUCAGUUGUCUUCAGAGCAAGUCUACCAAGGCAGAAUGUAACAUCACAGUUAGCAUCAGGAGACAGAGGUUUAUCAUCUCUGCCAUUUCAAGUCACAUUGACUAACCCAGAACCUAACUUCAGUUUAAAAAACAAAAACAAAAAAAUGUGUUAAAAUGACAAAACAUAGUUCUCAUUCUUUCUUCAAUAAUAAUAAAAGUUUAUUCUAGCCCUGCAGAAAUACAACUAUUGGGACUGUGAAUUGUCCUUGCUCUGUGCAUAGCUAUUAAUAUGCAGAAUUGUCUCAGUCAAAACCAGUAGCCUAUUCUUAAGAGACCUGCACAAGGAAUGACUACAAUGCUCUAUCAAUAUCCAUUUCGAUUACAAUAUUUUUGGUAACUCUAUGUCUCUAUGUUGCUCUAUCAAAAGUAGCUUUUUUUUUUUUUCUUUUUUUUUUUUUUUUUUAAGAAUAUCUCCAACUAUGAUGCAAUAUGCUGUUGUUUUAAGAUUUUGAUAAAGUUUUGAAUGGCUGGUUUUCUAUUGAUGAGAAUCUAGGUGAAUUUGCAAGAUAAAUUUGUGUUU